UUCCUGCCGAAUCGGAGAAGCGGGCAGCGAUGGAAACGCGGGCGCGGGACGGACCCACGUCCAGUCAGCCGAGGCCCCAGAGCCGGCCUGGGGGCUGAGGACCGACUGACGAGCGCUCAGUCAGGCGCCUGUUUAACCCAAACUCAGAAAAGGCACAGUCAGGAGCGCGGGAGUGUGAGAGAAUCCACCAGAGCCAGAGCUGGGAGCAGAGCAGGCAGA